UCUUUCUCCAUCUGGGUUGUUACCCUGUUUUUUAUUUCUCUUAAAAUCGAAAUUGGGUUUUAGGGUUUUUUAGUUUAGUGUCAAAUAUAUAUGCUGAGCAAACCGCCGAUCAUGGCAAUCAAUCGGACGACAUCGAGUGCCUCUUUGUUCAAUUUUUGGCCUUUCUCAUUCACCUUCUGCUGCUGAUGGUAUCUACGUACUACUUUCUACUAUCAUCUCUGUAUCAUUCCAUGAAUUCGGCCAUGCUCUUGCGGCUGCCAGCGAAGGCGUUGAGAUGGAGUACAUUGCCAUCUUCAUAGCAUUCGUGUUUCCUGGUGCUUUGGUGGCUUUCAACCACAACUUGCCCCAAUCAUUGAUAGCGAUGGUCUGGUCAUUAUAAAUGGUGCAGCUAAGGAAAUACAAAGGGCUGCAGUAAUUGCAGUGACCAAAGUUAGAGGAAUGGAAGUGGCUGGUGCUGUUGAUUCUUAUCUAGUUGGAGAAGAUAUU